GCUUGUCCCCUUGCUAGGGCUCCCUCUAGUGGUGAACAGCGGUACUGCACAUGUGCGGUUUAUUCACCAGGUGUUAGUUGACUGUUAAUAUGCUAAUGAGGUGAUUCAUUCUCCGCCAAUCCCUGGAGGACAAGUAGUGGGGUGAUCCAAGCCCCACCAAUCCCUGAGAGAUAAUUAGCAUACUGUUGUCUAUAUAAGCCGAGCCAUUUUGCUGCUCGGAGUCCCUGUUCAAGAGAGCUGUAACACUAAGAGAGCUGUAACACUAAGAAGAGCUGUAACACAGUAAAGGCUUGCUCGCAGAAGAAUCCUGUUGCCACGCGUAGUUCUUGCUGGCGGGACAUUGGGCGCGCGACAAGUGGUGCCGAGACCCGGGAACCAACAUCGCCGGUGCCAGGGGACCCUUCAGUGUGCUGAAGAGGAUUCAGAACUGCGAGAAGGUAAAUUAAAAGAAUCAAGAAAAUCCAAUUUGGGUACCUGAGUGUUUGACUCGAAAAUUGCCUUCUGCUCUUCCUGAAGAUGAGACUACGAACCCUACUAUUACUACUGGGAAUGGUAAUACAGGUUAAUUCGCUCACCCUGUGGGCUAUUGCCAGAUCCUGGCCAGUACCCAUGCCAGUUCAUAGCAAUUCUACUGUUUUGAGAAUAAGACUGACAAGCAUAAUCUCUGGUCUUGGUUUCAAUGGGUGCUGUCCAAUGAGCAAGGGGCAUAUACAUCCCUGACCCCCUUUGCUAGGUUGAUGGGUGAGAAUUUCGUGCUGUAUAAUGUUUCAGCUACCAGAAAAAAUGAUACCAGGUUGACCAAUAUUCAAUAUAAUAACCUCUUGGCAAAUAAUAUUGCCACUAGUACUUCAGUAAUGUGUUAGAUCACCUUUUUUCUUUCUGAUAAGCACUAAUGUCAGCAGUGGUGCUUUAAAUUGUAAUAGCUCUGAUGUAGUCUGCUAUUUAGCUGAAUGCUGGGAUGGCACUAAUGACACCGCAGUGAUGGUUAAGAUUCCCUCCUUUGUGCCAAUCCCAGUGGAGGCAAACCCAGAUAGCUUUCCUAUUCUUAAUUUGCUGAGAGCCAAAAGAGAUUUUGGAAUUACGGCAGCC
rnacentral:lncRNA from 1 species